rnacentral:tRNA from 1 species
UGCGGGGUAGAGCAGUUUGGUCAGCUCGGGUGGUUCAUAACCACCAGGUCGUGGGUUCGAAUCCCACCCCCGCUA